UAAAGAGCACCUAUUAUGGGAUACACGUUUUUAAACAUCCUUUUGUGUGUAAGUGUGCAUUAGUACAUGCUAACGAUAUUCAAAAAGUACAUACCUCAAAGAAAACGAUGACGCGAGUUAUCGUCUCUAAUGUUCGAGGACUACAAAAAACACUCGGAUUGUAGGCAACAGUUUACUUCCUGGGAUUAGUGACGUAGAUAAGACCAACAUUAUCAUAGUUCAGCCCUCUCUGCUUUGCUUGGGUACGCCCUCAAAGACGAGGGUGGGGAGCGCCGAGUCAGAAGAGAGCUAAAAUGGCGGAGGUUGUGAGUCCCUGCUUUGACUGUUUGCAAACUCUUGUUUCAUUGUUUAAGCGAUUAAAUCUCUCGAGUAGACGCUGUCUCUUUAGAUGCGAGGGAAAAAUAGCACUUUAUGGACUUCCACAGAGGACAUCAUGUUUAAUACGGUUCCGGAAAAAUCCAGUCAGAAGUUGUUCACGGAGUUUUCACAAUAACUGCUUCUCAUGAACCGAAGCUGGAUUUGCGCGACGUCUCCUCUUGAAAGUUGGAUUACUGUGCACUUCUGGAUCACAGGCUAUUCGCAGCUGGACACAUCCUUCUACACUGUAUGCAAACAUGCAACAUCAUAACACACAGUACAAGGAGUCAGACUGGCAUAUGAGGAGCAAAGGAACCCAGGCAGUAGCAUCGUUUCACAAUGUUUCCAUCACCAUCAUCAGUGGAUGCCUUUGCCGUCCGUAGCCUGAGAUUUCAGAUUUGCAGCAAAAAUUUUUUGAUUUUCUCAUUUAUUGGAAUGCUGUGCAGGUAUUUGUACCUUGCAGCCAUCCAUUACAAUGUCACCAAGCCGUAACAAAAGCAGGAGAGGGAAAGUACAAGGCUAUGUUCCCAAAACACACAAGUGACAUACCUUAUGUGGAGGAUGUGAUCAGGCUUGUGUUUGAUGAGGUAUUUGAAGAUAAGCUGAAGGAAACCCCGAUUCCAAUGGACCUGGCAUCACAGUUUGAGAGACCUUCAAAGGAGGACGUGAUUGCAUGCCAUCUUCAGUGCAGGGGUCGUCGGAAGCCAACAUUCCGAUCAGGAAGCUCCAAGCGUAUCUGGAGAACAACACACGACAGGAUGAUAACCUUAUAGUGUCGUCUUAAAUAGCACCAGCUGACAAAGCUUUGAUAUGCCAUUUAUCUGAAUAGAUAGCUGUAAGAAAUGAAUUGAACAAUUUUUGAAACAAGAGCACAAUAUGGUUACUAAAGUAUGUUUAUUUGUAUAUUGUUUAACAUUUAAAUAUAUAUUUGUAAUAAAUAAAUAAAAACUU